AGGACGAACGCUGGCGGCGUGCUUAACACAUGCAAGUCGAGCGGUAAGGCCUUUCGGGGUACACGAGCGGCGAACGGGUGAGUAACACGUGGGUGAUCUGCCCUGCACUUCGGGAUAAGCCUGGGAAACAGGGUCUAAUACCGGAUAUGACCUCCUAUCGCAUGGUGGGUGGUGGAAAGAUUUAUCGGUGCAGGAUGGGCCCGCGGCCUAUCAGCUUGUUGGUGGGUAAUGGCCUACAAGGCGACGACGGGUA
rnacentral:rRNA from 1 species